AGAGCGAACGCUGGCGGCAGGCCUAAUACAUGCAAGUCGAACGGAUCCUUCGGGAUUAGUGGCGGACGGGUGAGUAACACGUGGGAACGUGCCCUUUGGUUCGGAACAACUCAGGGAAACUUGAGCUAAUACCGGAUGUGCCCUUCGGGGGAAAGAUUUAUCGCCAUUGGAGCGGCCCGCGUCUGAUUAGCUAGUUGGUGGGUAAAGGCCUACCAAGGCUACGAUCAGUAGCUGGUCUGAGAGGAUGAUCAGCCACACUGGGACUGAGACACGGCCCAGACUCCUACGGGAGGCAGCAGUAGGGAAUCUUGCGCAAUGGGCGAAAGCCUGACGCAGCCAUGCCGCGUGAAUGAUGAAGGUCUUAGGAUUGUAAAAUUCUUUCAGCGGGGACGAUAAUGACGGUACCCGCAGAAGAAGCCCCGGCUAACUUCGUGCCAGCAGCCGC
rnacentral:rRNA from 1 species